rnacentral:rRNA from 1 species
AUUGAACGCUGGCGGCAUGCCUUACACAUGCAAGUCGAACGGCAGCACGGGUGCUUGCACCUGGUGGCGAGUGGCGAACGGGUGAGUAAUACAUCGGAACAUGUCCUGUAGUGGGGGAUAGCCCGGCGAAAGCCGGAUUAAUACCGCAUACGAUCUACGGAUGAAAGCGGGGGACCUUCGGGCCUCGCGCUAUAGGGUUGGCCGAUGGCUGAUUAGCUAGUUGGUGGGGUAAAGGCCUACCAAGGCGACGAUCAGUAGCUGGUCUGAGAGGACGACCAGCCACACUGGGAUUGAGACACGGCCCAGACUCCUACGGGAGGCAGCAGUGGGGAAUUUUGGACAAAGGGCGAAAGCCUGAUCCAGCAAUGCCGCGUGUGUGAAGAAGGCCUUCGGGUUGUAAAGCACUUUUGUCCGGAAAGAAAUCCUUGGCCCUAAUACGGUCGGGGGAUGACGGUACCGGAAGAAUAAGCACCGGCUAACUACGUG